CUUGCUGCAGCCUACACAUGCAGUCGAGCGGUAACAGAGAGUAGCUUGCUACUUUGCUGACGAGCGGCGCCCGGGUGAGUAAUGCUUGGGAACAUGCCUUGAGGUGGGGGAGACAGGCGUCCCAGACUGCUAAUACCGCAUAGUGUCUUGGGCUUAAAGGGGGGUUCGGCUCUCGCCUUUAGAUUGGCCCAAGAGGGAUUAAAUAGUUGGUGAGGUAAGGGCUCACCAAGGCGACUAUCCCUAUCUGGUUUGAGAGGAUGAUCGCCCACAUUGGGACUGAUACUGAUCCCAAACUCCUUUUAGAGGUGGAAUUGGGGAAUAUUGCACAUUGCGCUCACUUCUGAUUCCCUCAUGCCGCGUGUGUGAAAAAAGCCUUCCCGUUGUAAAGCACUUUCAGUCAGGAGGAAAGGUUAGUAGUUAAUACCUGCUAUCUGUGACGUUACUGACAGAAGAAGCACCGGCUAACUCCGUGCCAGCAGCCGCGGUAAUACGGAGGGUGCGAGCGUUAAUCGGAAUUACUGGGCGUAAAGCGUACGCAGGCGGUUUGUUAAGCGAGAUGUGAAAGCCCCGGGCUCAACCUGGGAACUGCAUUUCAAACUGGCAAACUAGAGUGU
rnacentral:rRNA from 1 species